rnacentral:rRNA from 1 species
GAUGAACGCUAGCGGCAGGCCUAAUACAUGCAAGCCGAACGGUAAGAUUUGUAGCAAUACGAGUCCUAGAGUGGCGUAAGGGUGCGUAACACGUAUGCAAUCUGCCCGCAACUGGAGGAUAGCUCGGGGAACCGGAACUUAACCUCCAUAAGAUCACACAAUGGCAUCAAAGAAGUGAUUAAAUCUCCGGAGGUUGCGGAUGAGCAUGCAGUUGAUUAGCUAGUUGGUAGUGUAACGGACUACCAAGGCAAUGAUCAAUAGGGGAACUGAGAGGUU